CCGGCCCUCCCUGCCCCACCCUCUUGUCCUAAUUUAGAUGAGUCUUGUGGAGGCUGGCCGUGGCUCAGGAGCUGUGUUGGGGCUGGGGUGCCUCUUUCCUUGGGCAGAUCAAGAAGCCCAAGUCUCGGUGGGGCAGUCGCCCUUCCUGGGCACCUUGGUGCUCGAUGGACACAUGACUUGGCUCUGGCGAAGUGUGUGAGCAGAAGUGGCCGGUGAGCGCCCUCCUCCCCCUCUCUCCUUCCUGCUAAAUGGGAUAAAGACACGAUGGCUGAGGCUGGUGCAGCUGCUUGAGACCCGAGGCGAGCAAGGGAGGCGCUCUGAGAAUGGAGGUCACCACAGCAGGGUCUAACUCAAGGGACAGAGCUGGGGGCCCGGCUCCCUGCUGAGCCUCACCCACCCACCGGCACUUUUACAUGAACGAAAAAAUAAAAGCUCUAGCUUGCUUAAGCCCCCUU